AGCCGCAUGGGAAAAUCGGUUUUCGCAUGCGGUCGACUUAAGACAGCCGCAUGUGAAGAUCUAUUUUCCCAUGCAGCU
rnacentral:pre_miRNA from 11 species